ACUAAAAGGGAGGAAAAUAAAAACUGUUAUGUGAUAAAGUUAUUAAUUAAUGAUUAAAAUGGCCCAAAUUGCUUUAUGUACAAUUAAUUCCAAAAGUAUCAAUAAAGUGAAUUAAGACAGAUAUGGUGUGGUGAUCCAAACAGUUCUGUUGUAGGAUAUAACUCAGACCUCCUGCUCUCCUCAUUCUCACAGACAUUUUCCUAAAAAGCUGUUUUUUUACACCUCCUAGUUUCUCAACUUCUGUUGUGUAUUCUCUCCAUCAUGAUAAUAACGGUGCUCCGAGCAAAAGGGAGCGGGUGUCUCAUAGUAUAACCAUCCCUGUGUCACUGAAGGAAAUUCAGAUGAGCCACAGAGCUGCGUGUGUAAACGGGACGGAAGUUGAAUCUCCCGUUGACUUUAUUUGCAAAAUGCAGGAAAAACCAAAGUGUCUGACAGUUGCAGAACCAGAGAUCGCAGGUUGAUGCCUGCGCCGUCUCUAGUAGAAGCGUGAGUCUGCAGCAGCAGCAGACGUAAAUCGGCGGUCUCCAGCUCUGCAGCUGUACCUUUGUCUUCGGCGAAUCAGCCCAGCCGAAAACGGUUUAUGAUUGGUCAGUCCUCGUGCACAUGUGCAGAUUAUCGUCCUCUUUCCUUACUCCCGGAAGAACGGUUCAGAGUUCAGUUGGUUUCUUUGUUGCUAAUCUGUAGGGAAUAUCUACAUGAAAGUUCUACAGAAAGUAGCAACGGGUCCUGAGAAAUGUUGCUAGGUUUGUCGCUAGGCGCUUCCGGUCGGCAACAAGAUGGCACCUGUGCUUGGCUUAGCCGCAGUCACCGGCCACUUUUUCAAACUUUUCUCCACUAACCUCCUCUUUUCCACCUUGCUCCUGUCUGCGAUCCUCUUCAGUAGUGUCCCUGCUACCAUCUCCUAUGAUCGCCAGACUCUUAUGUCCUUCCGUUCGUUCACGAUCGCCCAAGAUGCACCAAGGACGUACCAUCCUGUUUGCUUACCUGAGUGGCGCACUGGCCCGGAACCAAUCGACGGUCCCGAGCUGCCCGCCUCCUGCUAUGUUUGUCCGGUCCCAGGAAAACUUCGGAGGAAAAGAGGUAAACAAGCAGGAAUCCAGGUGAGAAUAAGACUUCUCUUAAAGCAUGGUUUAUCUAGUAAACAUCGGCGCGAUCUUCUAGCUUCUUGUCCUUUGUUUGGUGACCUGAGAGCCACUUCUGCUUGGGACGCAGUUCAUCCGUGCAAGUUUUUUAAGGUCGGUUUAUCCUUAUUCCUCAGUGGUUUCUCCUCCUGUUCCCUCCAUAAGUGGUUUUUAUAAACACCGUGGAUCUAACCCUGCUAAUUUAUGUCCACUAACUCCAGUUGUUUCUGUAGUUUCUGAUUCCUCCUCCUCACUCAGCAUGGCUCUAUUAAAUUCCCGCUCUGUUAACAAUAAGACCUUCCUGCUCAAUGAUCUAAUUCUGUCUAAAAUCCUGGAUUUUAUGUUUCUGACUGAAGUUUAGCAGCAAACAUCUGAUUAUUCUGCUCUGAUUGAACUCUGCCCGAGUGGUCAUUCUUUUCUUAGCCAGCCCCGGGGUUCUGGUUGUGGUGGAGGCCUAGCUGUUGUUUUCAGAGACCAUCUUCCAUGUAGCUCUACAACCUCUGGUCACUUUGCUUCCUUUAAACUGCAGCUGAUUAAAGUCUGGCGUUAGGACCCGUUCUACUGUGCUGUGGUCUAUCGUCCACCUGGUCCAAACAGUUCUUUCCUUCAGGAGUUUAGUGACUUUCUAUCCUCCACUGUGAAGCUGUCCAGACUGGUGAUUGUUGGUGACUUUAACAUCCACGUUGAUGAUCCCUCCGAUUUCUUUGCCAUGAAUUUCUCCAGCCUUAUGGACUCCUUCAGCUUUACCCAGCAUGUUUCUGGCCCCACACACACCAGGGGGCACACUCUAGACCAUGUUUUUACCCUGAUUCUAAAUGCUGACAGUGUUUGUCCUGAGGACAUUUAUAUUGCUGAUCAUCAUUGCAUUUUCUUUAACUUGUCAAUUUCUGCAUCCCCACCUCCUGCUCGCCAUAUGGUUAGUUCUCAUUUUCUUAAUGAGAGCACAGCUAGCAAUGUUUCUGCUGCUUUUGAUCCACCCUGUUCUUCUGAUAACGACCCAGAUUCCUUAACUUCUCAGUUCAACGAGCACUGCCUCUCCAUUCUGGACAACAUCUGUCCUGUCAGAACCAGAUCAGUUCCUGCAGUGAACCCUACUCCCUGGUUUAAUGACAGCCUUCGCAGCCUGAAGCGCCAAUGCAGAAAAAUUGAGCGUUUGUGGAGGAAAACCCAUUUCAACGUCCAUCUGCUGCACCUAAAGGAUCUUCUGUCAUCCUUUAACUCUGCAGUCAGAGACGCCAGGGUUUCCUAUUUCUCCAACCUGGUGUCCCAGAGCAAAGGGAACCCCAAAGUGCUGUUUAACACUAUCAGCAGCAUUGUUUCUCCUGCCUUAUCUACAGCCUCCAUCCACUCUGUUACAGACUGUGAGAACUUUCUGUCUUUCUUUGUGGACAAAGUCAAUAAGGUCAGAUCUAGCAUCUCUCCUUCAGCCUUAUCGCCGCCUCUCCAGACUCCAACCAAGUUCAUCAUCCUAGAUAGCUUUGCUCCUGUUUCUUUGCCUGAGUUAACCCAACUAGUUAACUCUAUGAAGACCUCUGCAUGCCCCCUCGACAUCUUACCCUCAUCUUUGUUUAAAAGUGCUUUUCAGUCCAUCGGUCCCAGCGUGCUCUCUAUAAUUAAUGCUUCUCUGGUCUCUGGUCAGGUCCCUGCUUACUUUAAGAAUGCUGUAAUCUACCCUCUUCUUAAAAAAUUGAGUCUCGACCCCUCUCUCCAUAGCAGCUUCAGACCCAUCUCUAAACUUCCCUUCAUCGCCAAGAUCUUGGAAAAGGUUGUGGCUAAACAACUCACAGCUGCUCUUGAUGAACAUAACAUCUAUGAUAGCUUCCAGUCAGGUUUUCGUAGAGCUCAUUCUACUGAAACAGCUCUUCUUAGGGUCUCUAAUGACCUUCUGACUCACAGUGAUGCAGGGGACUGUUCUGUUCUGGUCCUGCUGGACCUGACUGCAGCCUUUGACACUGUUGACCAUCACCUGCUACUGGAGAGGCUGAGAGACUGGGUAGGCCUAUCAGGAUCUGCUCUGGGGUGGUUCUCCUCUUAUCUCUCUGAGCGCUCCUUUUCUGUGGCCGUCUCCAAGUUUAGGUCCUCCACCACCUUCCUGACCCGUGGUGUCCCACAAGGUUCUGUGCUGGGGCCUCUGUUCUUCCUCCUCUAUCUGCUUCCUCUUCAGCACAUCCUGAGCUCCUUCAAAGGAAUCUCCUACCAUCUUUAUGCAGAUGACAUCCAACUGUACAUCUCCUUUAAGCCCCAUGAGAUGUCUAAGCUGCAGCUGUUUCACACCUGCUUAGACUGUAUUAAAUCCUGGAUGGCUGGGAGCUUUCUUCAGCUGAAUGAAGAUAAGACUGAGAUCCUCAUCUGUGCCCCUGACAAGCUGGUUCCCAAAGUCAGAGACUCUCUUGGUCAGCUUGCUUCCCACACCAAACCUUCUGUCAGGAAUCUUGGUGUGACCUUUGACCCAGCUCUCACCCUGGAUUCUCAUGUCAGUUCUCUUGCUCGCUCUUCCUUCUUCCAUCUCAGGAACAUUGCUAAGCUGAGUCCCAUUCUGUCCCGCUCUGAACUUGAGACAGUUCUCCACACCUUCAUCUCCUCACGCUUAGACUACUGCAACUCUCUUUUCACGUGUCUGAACAGAACCUCCCUGAACCAUCUACAGGUGGUUCAGAACGCCUGUGCUCGGCUUCUGACCAAGUCCUCCAAACACACCCACAUCACCCCACUUCUCCUCCAGCUUCACUGGCUGCCAGUCACCUUCAGGGUUCAUUUCAAGAUCCUGGUUCUGGUCUAUAGGGCCUUACAUGGACAAGCACCAUCUUACAUUGGUGAUCUUCUUAGUCCCUACACCCCCAGCAGGUCCCUGAGGACCAGUGAUCAAAGCCUACUAGUUGUGCAGCACCAGGCUAAAGGUCAAAGGUGACAGAUCAUUUGCUGCUGUGGCCCCCAGACUCUGGAACUCUCUCCCCCUGAGCCUGAGAUCAGUGGACUCAGUGGUCUCCUUCAAAAAGCAGCUGGAGACUCACUUUUUCAAGCUGGCUUUUGUAUGACCUUCUUCAACCCCUCUCUCUUUAUCAUGCUCUCCCCACCUAUUCCACCUUCCUCAGUAUCCACUGAUUUCCCUCUUUCCUAUUCACUCUCUCUCUUUCUUAACAUCUUUUCUUUUAAAUCCCAGUUGCCUAUUUUUGCUUAUUUUAAAUAUAUUUUUAAACAUUUUCUAAAUGCUUUUUUAUAUUUUUACAUUUUUUUUGUUUUUGUGAAGCGCCUUGUCAUUUUUAUCUUCAGAGGCAUUAUAGAAAUGAUAUUUUCUUCUUCUUUUCUUCUUUUUGGAAAAAAAGUCAUUGAGGGGGGUCAAAAAGUCGUUAGGAACAGCGACAAAGUCACUGAGUUGGCAACACUGCUUAAAACAUAUAGACAUUUUUCAUAUAGUUUUCAAUAAUUAUUGAUAUCAAUCAAUGAUUUUUUUUUCAUCCAGCCCCAUCAGUAUGGCCUAAAAUUGAUAUCACUACAUUUUUAAGCACAAGCAGUACUGAUAUACUGCAAUAUAUUUUUUUCUUCGAUUUAUAAACGUAAAAGUGACUGUUUUUGGACAGUCUGCCCUCUGUCACCGGACGAGGAGCCGAGAGAGGCGUCGAGGAAAAUUCUCUCUGUUCACCCUUCGUGGUAUCGUCAAUUUGUUGAGGGUUGAGUGGCUUUAAAAACAGAGUCGGAAACAGGCUUCUUCCAUCAGACAGUUUGGGUCUUUUAAUGAAACAAUCGGCACACAAGAGUUAGAGCGCAGCACUUCAUUUAUACAUUUCUGCUAUGAGCACAAGAUGUGCGUGUGCUCACACAACAGUGAUACAUGGCGAAAAUUUUCCAUCUUCCCAAACUUGGUGAUGUCCCAAUGGCAUUACAGCAGAAUCACAAGCUGGCCAAGUCUUUGACAUUAAGUUGGAAUUUUCCACUUGAUAACAGAUUAAACUUUCCAAAGUUGGCUUUAUCUUGGCAGUUGAACUCUGAGAAUUAACUCAUUCGCUGCCAGCCGUUUCCUGAUCGCUAAAGCCCUUCGCCGCCAGCGUUUCUCACCUAUUUACUGUUUUUUUAAGAGUCACGGAACGUUGCGCGUUAGGAUGAUGUCGACGCCAAAACCAGUGUUGGGAACGUUACUUUAAAAAAGUAAUUAGUUAUAGUUACUGAUUACUUUGUCAAAAAAGUAACUCAGUUACUAACUGCGUUACAGCAUCAUAAAAGUAACUAAUUACCAACAAAAGUAACUACUUAGUUACUUUUUUCAUUAAAGAAUGCAAGAAUUACUACAAUAGUGAAAUAUAAAUGACUAAUGACUGGAACAUAAUAAAAUGUAUUUCCAAAUGUUUUUUAUAAACCUGAAUAAUUUCAAUAAAUAAGCACUUAACAGGAGGAACUACUAAUAGGAACAUUACACUAAUCUAGACUAUUAAAAGGUCACUGUGUGAUAUUUAACAAAAACCCAAUCAGCUACAAUUUAAAAUUGCAAAUAGAAACACCUGUAAAGGUUCCCGAGCCUUUAAAUGGUCUCUCAGUCUAGUUAAAUUACAGAAAUAAAUGUAAUUUUGCACAGUAUUCUAAUUUUUCCAGCUUCAUGUAAUUGUGUGUUUUUAGCAGCAUUUCUGUUGCUGGUAAUCUAGUAACGGUUUAAUAAAUAAAUAAAACCUUUAAAAUGACACUAGAAGAGGCACAAAUCUGAUGGAGGACUUAAAUGUACUAACGUGGGUCAGACCCAACCACAGAAGAGCUGAAGCUGGGUGGUAAACACACACAGGUAGUUCUGAUAACACCUGAGCUCCAUGACGUCUGAGACUGAUGCAGCAGUGUUACAGCGGGACUAAAGACAUGAUCAGAAACAGGUUACAGCUGGAUGAUCUAGGAAGGUAGAAGAUCAGGACGUCUGAGCGGUGAACAGGUGAGCGGACCUUCGGGACAUCCCGCUGUCACGCUAAGGGCACGGCUGCAGACCCGCAGAUUCGCUGCUGCAGCAACAAAUCUGCGGGGGGUCUGCAGCCGUAGAUAUUCAUCAUGUCAUCCUCGUUCUUCACGGGCCGUGAUGCUCUUGGAUGAAAACAUCUGCCUCCUUAGCUCCUGAUCAGCUGAUGACAGCUUCAACACACCGCGCUGCUUAACGCACGCAUUUCCUCAUCAGUAACAGAAACAACAUUUUGAUAAAAGAAGACGUGGGCCGCUGCUGUAAAAAGUGAGGCGCGAACCGGAAAAGCUUCUGCCGAUCACAAUUCAACAACGGAUUAUGAAAGAACGGAUAACACUCGAAACACGCAGAUUCUUCCUGAUGUGAGAGGUGAGUCUCCACUUUGUUUUGGUUGUUUUGGCGUCGACAUCAUCCUAGCGCGCGACACCUCUCUCUCCCUGGCUGCAGCUGAAGUGUGGCGGUCAGAAAGCCUGUUGCUCAACGUUCGACAAGCACAUAGUAACGCACAACCUUCCGUCCCCAGUAACGGUAACGGCGUUGUAACGGCGGGAAAAGUAAUUAAUUAGAUUAUUCCGUUAACUAUAAAAGAACGCCGUUAGAAACGCCGUUAUACUUAAACGGCGUUACUCCCAACACUGGCCAGAACAAAGCGGAGACUCACCUCUUACAUCAGGAAGAAUCUGCGCGUUUCGAGCGUUAUCCGUUCUUUCAUGAUCCGUUGUCGAAUUGUGAUCGGCAGAAGCUUUUUCGGUUCGCCCCUCACUUUUUGUAUAGCAGCAGCCCAAAACGAUCUCCUAACACAUGGAUUUUCUGCUUUCUGAUCACAUGACGUGUGACGUACGCGGAUGAAGAUCGGCUUUAGAGCUGGGAUGUUUGCUCUAACGGUGCGGGGGCUUGUUCCGAUGCCCACACAGUAAAAAGAUGCAAAUGAUGACUUUAGUCAUCAUUGGCAGUGAAUGAGUUAAUGGACCUGUCUAAAUAUUGUUAUUAGAAGUCUGGACCACCGGUCAUGAAGUCAUCUGAUAAACAGUUCUCGUAAGCAAUGCACUUAAAGGGGCUUUACAGAGUUUUGAAUUUUUAUGCUCGUGAUUGCCCCCUCAGGCCAAAAGUGCAAUGGCAGCUUCAAUAGUAGGCUCGUGCUCGAGGCGCGCAUGCUGUACGUGCACAGCUGAGACAGUCCCGUGUGUGUGUGUGUGUGUGUGUGUGUGUGUGUGUGUGUGUGUGGCCCGGAGGACAGAGGACAGAAGAACGGGCAGCUAAUUAAUUAAAUAAUUUGGUUUUGUACCUUUCUCUUCAGCACAGCCGACAAAGGAUGGGUCAGUCCUCCUGCAUGCUCAGAUCAUUCCCUUCCCUUGCUUGAAAAAUUGUUCCAAAAUAAAAGUUGAACCCACAUCUUUUUUAUCUGUGAAUUCAAUGCCGUUCGGCGAGUCUCAAAUAAAAAUUUGGGCAUCUUACUGUAAAAAAAUAUACCAUUAAUGUAAAAAAGAAACUCUAAAUAAACUAUGUUCACAUUCAGAAUCAAACCCAGGACUUCUACACGAGAGUCCGACGUCUUAAUAGGUGAGCUAAAGCGCCAGUGACGUCUUUUGUAUCUGUAACGUUUAUAUCCUUGAUGACAGCUGAAACAACGCCAAACCAAAGAACGGUUGGGAGCGAAAAUGGCUAUUUUGUUGCUAAUUUGCAGGAAAUAUCUAGAAGAAAGUUCUACAGAAAGUAGAUAAGUGUCCUCACAAAUGUAGCUAGCUUUGUCACUAGGCGUUAGGAACAGCGACAAAGUGGCACUACCUCACUCUCUGCUGCUAAAGCUACUGAUAGCAAAUGCUACGGGCUAUGCCUGAGCGUGAACGCGCAUGAAGCAGCCUGCUCGACCCGAGCAGCUCUCUUUUUCUGUGAUUUUACAGAAAAACAGGCAAUCACAGUAAAAAUGCCAGGGCUCAUUCUACAGGACCAGGGCACAGCAGGAGAAUGUAUGAAGAAGAAAUUUAUUAUUUCUAUACAUGUUUUGGCUGUCAAACUUCCAUAAUGCCCCUUUAAGCUUUGCUCGGAAACCGACUGCACAAACAAUUCUUUUGGAGCUGUUGGAAAAACUGCACACGAACAUUGUGAAGCAAACAGGCUUUUAAACCAAAGAUUCACCAUUCAGCUCUAUACUUAUUGUACAGGUGACCUCUUGACCUUUAAAGCCCCUACAAUACCAUGUGCCUUUGACUUUGACACUUCCUCCCCUUCCAUACAUGCUAGUUGUAGUGACGUAAAAGACAGAUGAAGAUGGCAGAACCAAGAGAAAAUCGAGCAGCCAAGUCAAACAAUACACCUAGGUUUGAGGUUCUUAUGGAUGCUUGAAAAACUUGAAAAUACAGCAUUUCAAUUUUUUUAUGUUCCACAGAUGUAUCUGUAAGUCAUUACCUCUUUAACGAUGCUAGAAAAUCAUGAAAACUCACCUUGAAACUGAUUGUAGCUUCUGUAUUUUCAUGAAAGUUCAAUAAUUUGAGCAUUUUGUCCUCUGAUUGUUCCAGGGGAAAGAUGCAUUUGGGCAGAGAAAGAAUGGUUUACUCCAACUGAAUUUGAGAAGCUUACAGGGAAGGGGAGCAACAAGAACUGGAAGUGGUCCAUUCGAUGUCAGGACACCCCCUUGCUUACACUUAUCAAGGAGGGCAACCUGAAGCCAUCAAGUUUCAGAAGAAGAAAAAAGGUGAAGAAAUUCCUGUUUUCCUCCAGCGAUUCAGCCACAGGUUGUUUUUUUUUUUUUUAGGACAACACACCC